UGAACGCUGGCGGCGUGCUUAACACAUGCAAGUCGAACGAACCUUCGGGUUAGUGGCGGACGGGUGAGUAACGCGUGGGAAUCUGCCCUCAGGAGGGGGAUAACGGCCGGAAACGGCCGCUAAUACCCCAUAUGCCGAGAGGUGAAAUGAAUUUCGCCUGAGGAUGAGCCCGCGUCUGAUUAGCUAGUUGGUGAGGUAAGAGCUCACCAAGGCAUCGAUCAGUAGCUGGUCUGAGAGGAUGAUCAGCCACACUGGGACUGAGACACGGCCCAGACUCCUACGGGAGGCAGCAGUGGGGAAUUUUCCGCAAUGGGCGAAAGCCUGACGGAGCAACGCCGCGUGAGGGAUGAAGGCCUCUGGGCUGUAAACCUCUUUUAUCAAGGAAGAAGAUCUGACGGUACUUGAUGAAUAAGCCACGGCUAAU
rnacentral:rRNA from 1 species